UACGUAGGGUGCGAGCGUUGUCCGGAAUUAUUGGGCGUAAAGAGCUCGUAGGCGGUGUGUCACGUCGAUCGUGAAAACUUACAGCUUAACUGUGAGCGUGCGGUCGAUACGGGCAUCACUGGAGUUCGGCAGGGGAGACUGGAAUUCCUGGUGUAGCGGUGAAAUGCGCAGAUAUCAGGAGGAACACCGGUGGCGAAGGCGGGUCUCUGGGCCGGUACUGACGCUGAGGAGCGAAAGCUAGGGGAGCAAACAGG
rnacentral:rRNA from 1 species